rnacentral:rRNA from 1 species
GAUAAACGCUGGCGGCGCACAUAAGACAUGCAAGUUGAACGGACUUAAUCGAAAUAUUUAUAUUUUGAAGCGGUUAGUGGCGGACUGGUGAGUAACGCGUAAGGAACCUGCCUAUUAGAGGGGAAUAACAGUGAGAAAUCAUUGCUAAUACCGCAUAUGCCAUAGAUAUCACAUGAUAACAGUGGGAAAGGAGCAAUCCGCUAAUAGAUGGCCUUGCGUCUGAUUAGAUAGUUGGUGGGGUAACGGCCUACCAAGUCGACGAUCAGUAGCCGGACUGAGAGGUUGAACGGCCACAUUGGGACUGAGAUACGGCCCAGACUCCUACGGGAGGCAGCAGUCGGGAAUAUUGCGCAAUGGAGGAAACUCUGACGCAGUGACGCCGCGUAUAGGAAGAAGGUUUUCGGAUUGUAAACUAUUGUCGUUAGGGAAGAGAAAGGACAGUACCUAAGGAGGAAGCUCCGGCUAACUACG